rnacentral:rRNA from 1 species
CCUACGGGAGGCUGCAGUGAGGAAUAUUGGUCAAUGGGCUUACGCCUGAACCAGCCAAGUCGCGUGAGGGAAGACUGCCCUAUGGGUUGUAAACCUCUUUUGUCAGGGAGCAACGCCGGCUACGUGUAGCCGGACUGAGAGUACCUGAAGAAAAAGCAUCGGCUAACUCCGUUCCAGCAGCCGCGGUAAUACGGAGGAUCCGAGCGUUAUCCGGAUUUAUUGGGUUUAAAGGUAGCGUAGAUGGGUUGUUAAGUCAGUUGUGAAAGUUUGCGGCUCAACCGUAAAAUUGCAAUUGAUACUGGCAGCCUUGAGUACAGUUGAGGUAGGCGGAAUUCGUGGUGUAGCGGUGAAAUGCUUAGAUAGCACGAAGAACUCCGAUUGCGAAGGCAGCUUACUAAACUGCCACUGACAUUGAUGCUCGAAAGUGUGGGUAUCAAACAGGAUUAGAUACCCUAGUAGUC